rnacentral:rRNA from 1 species
AUUGAACGCUGGCGGCAGGCUUAACACAUGUAAGUCGAGCGAGCGGCGGACGGGUGAGUAAUGUCUGGGAAACUGCCUGAUGGAGGGGGAUAACUACUGGAAACGGUAGCUAAUAACGCAUACCAUCAGAUGUGCCCAGAUGGGAUUAGCUAGGAGGGGGGGUAAUGGCUCACCUAGGCGACGAUCCCUAGCUGGUCUGAGAGGAUGACCAGCCACACGGGAACUGAGACCAGGGCCCGACUCCUACGGGAGGCAGCAGUGGGGAAUAUUGCACAAUGGGCGCAAGCCUGAUGCAGCCAUGCCGCGGGUGUGAAGAAGGCCUUCGGGUUUUAAAGCACUUUCAGCGAGGAGGCGGUACUCGCAGAAGAAGCACCGGCUAACUCCGUGCCAGCAGCCGCGGUAAUAC